CAUACCCCACCUCUGCAGGAGACCCUCCAACACUAGCAGGCACCGUGUGAAGUAUAACUUUCAGAGAGAUAAAAGGAAAAAUACGUGUUCAAGUCCCAGAGGACCUGGAUUCAGACUUAUAACCAGGAUCUGCACAUCCAGGCCCUGUGAGAUUAAAGAACGCUCCAUCAAAAUGUGACAGUCAGUUCAUUCUAGCUCUGGUCCACACGGCUUCGGGUGAUAAAGCAUCGUCAAAAUGUAUGCAGCUUCUAUGUCCCAAUAAAUUUCUGCUGAGAACAGAUUAUUAGGAAAGUGUUGCAAGGUUUCUUUGGACCAAAAUAUUUUACUUUUGUUUUAUCCCUGUCACCUCCAGUUUUACCUAAAGAGAUGAUGAUUCCUGAUUCCACAGGAUGGGUUCUUAACUAAGAUACUGAUGACACUGAGCAGAACAAGGAUGACUCCUGGGGCUUCUCAUCAUCAAAAUUGUUUAUUCAGAGUAUAUUCUGUGCUGAGAACUGUGAUGAACAUGUAUUACAUACUGUCUGUUUUUUUUCACCAGAGUGCACCACUCUGAUGCCCAUUUAGGGCAGGUGGUCUAGAUUUUGUAUGUAUAAAAAUCACACUGGGAAAUUUUAAAAUGCAGUUUCCUGGUGGUUCUACCACUAAAGAUCCUGAUUGAAUAGUUUGGGGAUGGAGCCCCAUAUAUUUAAAAACCCCACAAAAUCCUCCAGGUUUUACGAUGCAGAUGGUGAGAGGUGAAAUUUUGAAAAUCUCCCCUGUACUUCGUGUCUCUAUUAUGGGUGGGUGGUGGUAGAUGCUGAGACUUGAUUCAAGGAUGUAGAUAUCCUGGUUCUGGUGGUAGUUAUCACAACUAACAUUAAUGAAAAUCCAGAAAGUUAAAUGCUGAUAUCCACAGCUAUGAUUCAGAGAAGACAGAUCAGAUCAGACAGCCAUCAUGUGGUAGAACCCAGAUAUGCAUCUAGUCUGGUUACCACCUGGGCAGGAUGGAGUUAAAGCUGUUGAUCUGUUAUAUACUUCUUUUCUGGAAAGAAAAGAAGGUUGGUGACUUGGUUUGAUCAACUUGUAAAAAUAACUUGGUAAUUUGACCCCUUGGAAAUAAAAGUAAUGAUAUUUGAUCAAAGGAGAAGCCUUAUCUAUGGAAUGCUAAGAGUUGGGUAUCUCUGGUUUAGGAUUGUUUAUGGAAAACAAACCAACAAUAUGAUUUUUGAGGGCUGGCUCUUCAGAGAAUGUCAUACAAGAUAAAUAGCUCUCAGAGUCUACAAAAUGGAGCUGUUUCAUGAUGUGAAUUCUUGCCACUGUGUGAGGUGACCACAAAUCUCUGUUAGAGACCUCAUUUCAGCCUGAGUCAUGCAGUGUGUGUCCAGGGUGGGAAGGUCGGCUUUAGGAAGCCGUGUAGGAUGUCCCGGGUCUCUGACUGUAUCCUUGAAAUUGUUAGUAAUGCUUAAUCCUUGGUAAGAUCUUUGAUUUGACAAUCCGACCCAUCGUGUUAGAUCACUUAAUCUUCCAUCUUCUCAUUGGUUAAAGCACCUCAUCACAGUACAAGUAACAGAUUUACCUUCACUUAAAUGAUAUCGUGGGACUCUGAAAUUUCACUGCAGUUUCAAAAGCUUCUUGAAGGGAGGAAAUAAUUAGCAUACUUGUGAAGACUAGACCUCAAGCAGGAGAAUAUGGUAGCACAAAUUGUCACACAUACUUUAUCCUAAAUUAACAUGGUAAUUAAAAUGGCCAUCUGUGUUCACUAAUUGUCUUUAUCCAGAGUGAAAUUAGAACUUCUUCUAUCUCUAUAACCAUCAGGUAGUUUUACAACUUGUAGCCUGGCACCAAGUUAAACAUAGGUUAAACUCUCAUCCUCCCAGUAGAAGGAGAGAUACAGCACCCAUUCCAAAGAGAUGGCUCCCAGGCCCUCAUGAAAAACAUUCUUGAUUGUAAAACUGGAGAGAAGCCCAUUUAGCUUUUAAAAAGGUCUACAUGCAUCUCAAGGGACAGAGAAAGGAUUUGCAACUACAUUUUCUAAAGGAAGUACUCUAGGAAGAAAGCGGGGGGACCUCUACCCUUUUUUCUCUAGGGAAAUUUUAAAAAUUUGUUUUAAGGUUUGUAUUUGCUUUUACAGUAGCA